GACGAACGCUGGCGGCGUGCUUAACACAUGCAAGUCGAGCGGUAAGGCCCUUUCGGGGGUACACGAGCGGCGAACGGGUGAGUAACACGUGGGUGACCUGCCCUCAGCUCUGGGAUAAGCCUGGGAAACCGGGUCUAAUACUGGAUAUGACUCCAUGACGCAUGUUGUGGGGUGGAAAGCCUUGUGCGGCUGAGGAUGGGCCCGCGGCCUAUCAGCUUGUUGGUGGGGNGAUGGCCUACCAAGGCGACGACGGGUAGCCGGCCUGAGAGGGC
rnacentral:rRNA from 1 species